CUACGGGCCGCUGCAGUGAGGAAUAUUGGUCAAUGGGCGCAAGCCUGAACCAGCCAUGCCGCGUGCAGGAUGACUGCCCUAUGGGUUGUAAACUGCUUUUAUACGGGAAGAAACCCCCGAUCGUGAUCGGGGUUGACGGUACCGUAGGAAUAAGCAUCGGCUAACUCCGUGCCAGCAGCCGCGGUAAUACGGAGGAUGCAAGCGUUAUCCGGAUUUAUUGGGUUUAAAGGGUGCGUAGGCGGAGAAUUAAGUCAGUGGUGAAAUCCUGCAGCUUAACUGUAGAACUGCCAUUGAUACUGGUUUUCUUGAGUAUAGUUGAGGUGGGCGGAAUGUGUAAUGUAGCGGUGAAAUGCUUAGAUAUUACACAGAACACCGAUUGCGUAGGCAGCUCACUAAGCUAUAACUGACGCUGAGGCACGAAAGCGUGGGGAGCGAACAGGAUUAGAUACCCUAGUAGUC
rnacentral:rRNA from 1 species